UGCAGUCGAGCGAGCAGAACCAGCAGAUUUACUUCGGUAAUGANGCUGGGGACGCGAGCGGCGGAUGGGUGAGUAACACGUGGGGAACCUGCCCCAUAGUCUGGGAUACCACUUGGAAACAGGUGCUAAUACCGGGUAAGAAAGCAGAUCGCAUGAUCAGCUUAUAAAAGACGGCGUAAGCUGUCGCUAUGGGAUGGCCCCGCGGUGCAUUAGCUAGUUGGCAAGGUAACGGCUUACCAAGGCAAUGAUGCAUAGCCGAGUUGAGAGACUGAUCGGCCACAUUGGGACUGAGACACGGCCCAAACUCCUACGGGAGGCAGCAGUAGGGAAUCUUCCACAAUGGACGCAAGUCUGAUGGAGCAACGCCGCGUGAGUGAAGAAGGUUUUCGGAUCGUAAAGCUCUGUUGUUGGUGAAGAAGGAUAGAGGUAGUAACUGGCCUUUAUUUGACGGUAAUCAACCAGAAAGUCACGGCUAACUACGUGCCAGCAGCCGCGGUAAUAGAUCGGAAGAGCACACGUCUGAACCUCC
rnacentral:rRNA from 1 species